rnacentral:siRNA from 1 species
AGGUGUGAUGACUGUAGUCGUAGG